CGUUCUAUGGCCUAACUGGUAAAAGCAUCGCCGAUUAUAUUCGAAGAUGCGGGUUCGAGUCCCGCUGGAACGG
rnacentral:tRNA from 1 species